AGUCAACAAAAAAAAAGAUCAUUUUUUUCUUCUUUUUCAUAUUUGAUAAACUGAAGAAGAAGAAGAAUGGGGUCAAUAGCUAAAAAGGGGUUGCAGAAUUACUUCAUACAACUUCAGCAACACCCUUUAAGAACAAAGGCGAUAACAGCUGCAGUUUUGUCAGCUAUCAGUGAUAUAGUGGCUCAGAAGAUCACUGGCAUUAAGAGACUUCAAAUGAGACGCCUUCUUCUGAAAGUGCUUUUUGGCUUUGCCUAUCUUGGACCAUUUGGUCAUUUUCUUCACUUAUUGCUGGACAAGCUUUUCAAGGGGAAGAAAGAUACAGCAACUGUUGCAAAAAAGGUGGUUCUGGAACAAGUGACAUCUUCUCCUUGGAAUAACUUGCUUUUCAUGAUAUACUAUGGAUUAGUUAUUGAAAGUAGACCCUGGAUCCAGGUGAAGUCUAAUAUUAAGAGGGAAUAUCCAAAAGUGCAGUAUACGUCUUGGACGUUUUGGCCCGUCGUGGGUUGGAUUAAUCACCAGUAUGUGCCACUUCAGUUCCGAGUCAUCUUUCACAGCAUUGUGGCAUGUGGCUGGGGGAUUUUCUUAAAUCUACGUGCAAGAUCGAUGGCAUUAAAGAAAGCUUGAAAGUCUCAAAGUUGCAAACCGGACAUUGCAACAUGUUCAUAUGUAGUGAACGUUGCUCGUUCUCUCAGCUACUAGUGGCUUAUGUAGUGGUCGACAUUUCCUAUAUACCUACUAGUGGGCUUGUUGUAUUUUUAUUUUUUGGUUAUGGUUUUCUUGAAUAGUAGGGCUCUUUUAUCAGAAAGAUUGGUAGUCAUAGAACUCCAUUUUAGUUGAUGAUUGGCCUAUUAUGACUAUAAGGCUUAUUAUAAG
rnacentral:misc_RNA from 1 species